UUUCCGUAGGUGAACCUGCGGAAGGAUCACUAUUGUAUAACCGAGGUGCGAGGGCUGUCGCUGACCCGAAAGGUCGUGCACGCCCGAGUGUGUCCUCUUGCAUAAUAAUCCAUCUCACCCUUUGUGCAUCACCGCGUGGGCACCCUUCGGGAUCAUCUCGGAGGGGGGCUCGCGUUUUCACACAAACCCCCCUUUUAAAAGUGUAGAAUGACCACAUUUAUGCAAUCAAUACAACUUUCAACAACGGAUCUCUUGGCUCUC
rnacentral:misc_RNA from 1 species